UCCUACGGGAGGCAGCAGUAAGGAAUUUUCGUCAAUGGGGGAAACCCUGAACGAGCAACGCCGCGUGGAGGAUGACGGUUUUCGGAUUGUAAACUCCUUUUGUAUGGGACGAUAAUGACGGUACCAUACGAAUAAGCCCCGGCUAACUCUGUGCCAGCAGCCGCGGUAAUACAGAGGGGGCAAGCGUUGUCCGGAGUUACUGGGCGUAAAGCGCACGCAGGCGGUUGUGCAAGUGGGAUGUGAAACCACCGUGCUUAACACGGUGACGCCAUGCCAAACUGCACGACUCGAGUGGUGGAGAGGUUGUUCGAAUUGCCGGUGUAGUGGUGAAAUGCGUAGAGAUCGGCAGGAAGACCAAGGGAGAAAUCAGACAACUGGCCACAAACUGACGCUCAGGUGCGAAAGCGUGGGGAGCGAACUGGAUUAGAUACCCAGGUAGUCCACGCUGUAAACGAUGUAUGCUCGGUAUUUGUGCUGUUACGGCAUGGGUACCUCAGGAAACCCGGUAAGCAUACCGCCUGGGAAGUACGAACGCAAGUUUAAAACUCAAAUGAAUUGACGGA
rnacentral:rRNA from 1 species